GGGGGCGACCUGGUUUCGACGUGGGUUGCAAAACCUAAGGCGCAUGUCGAGGAUGUAGCUUCACCUCGUAAAUCAAGCUGCAACUUAAAGUAAUCGCAAACGACGACGUACUUUUCGCUGCUGCUGCGGCCUAGUCCGCAGCUUGCUGCUUAAAACACAGCACAGCGCCAGCACCCUAGUCCGCCUGAGGGCUUCCGGUGAGGGUCAUACCAAUUCAGGACCGCUGGCUAAAUCGCCCUACUUAGUCAGUUAAAUUUAGGGCCUCGCUGCUUGAGAUCCUGCCGAUUGGAGCUUAAGUAGUUAAAUUAAAUAAUACGGCUAAACAUGUAGUGCUAAGGGCGGAGAAUUUACGGACGCGGGUUCAAUUCCCGCCGCCUCCACCA
rnacentral:tmRNA from 1 species